CCUACGGGCGGCUGCAGUGAGGAAUAUUGGUCAAUGGGCGCGAGCCUGAACCAGCCAAGUCGCGUGAGGGAUGAAGGUUCUAUGGAUCGUAAACCUCUUUUAUACGGGGAUAAAGUGUGGGACGUGUCCUCUUUUGUAUGUACCUUAUGAAUAAGGGUCGGCUAACUCCGUGCCAGCAGCCGCGGUAAUACGGAGGAUCCGAGCGUUAUCCGGAUUUAUUGGGUUUAAAGGGUGCGUAGGCGGCCUUUUAAGUCAGCUGUGAAAGUCUGUGGCUCAACCAUAGAAUUGCCGUUGAAACUGGGGGGUUUGAGUACGUUUGAGGCAGGCGGAAUGCGUGGUGUAGCGGUGAAAUGCUUAGAUAUCACGCAGAACCCCGAUUGCGAAGGCAGCCUGCCAAGCCAUGACUGACGCUGAGGCACGAAAGCGUGGGGAUCAAACAGGAUUAGAUACCCCUGUAGUC
rnacentral:rRNA from 1 species